rnacentral:tRNA from 1 species
GGUGUGUUGGCAGAAUAGUGCAACCGAUUUAGAAUCGGUUUAUGGUACAAUACCACACACCA